rnacentral:rRNA from 1 species
GAUGAACGCUGGCGGCGUGCCUAAUACAUGCAAGUCGAGCGAACAGACGAGGAGCUUGCUCCUUCGACGUUAGCGGCGGACGGGUGAGUAACACGUAGGUAACCUACCUAUAAGACUGGGAUAACUUCGGGAAACCGGAGCUAAUACCGGAUAAUAUUUCGAACCGCAUGGUUCGAUAGUGAAAGAUGGCUUUGCUAUCACUUAUAGAUGGACCUGCGCCGUAUUAGCUAGUUGGUAAGGUAACGGCUUACCAAGGCAACGAUACGUAGCCGACCUGAGAGGGUGAUCGGCCACACUGGAACUGAGACACGGUCCAGACUCCUACGGGAGGCAGCAGUAGGGAAUCUUCCGCAAUGGGCGAAAGCCUGACGGAGCAACGCCGCGUGAGUGAUGAAGGUCUUCGGAUCGUAAAACUCUGUUAUUAGGGAAGAACAAAAGUGUAAGUAACUGUGCACGUCUUGACGGUACCUAAUCAGAAAGCCACGGCUAACUACGUG